rnacentral:rRNA from 1 species
GACGAACGCUGGCGGCGUGCUUAACACAUGCAAGUCGAACGGAAAGGCACUGCUUUUGUGGGGUGCUCGAGUGGCGAACGGGUGAGUAACACGUGAGUAACCUGCCCUUGACUUUGGGAUAACUUCAGGAAACUGGGGCUAAUACCGGAUAGGAGCUCAUGCUGCAUGGUGGGGGUUGGAAAGUUUCGGCGGUUGGGGAUGGACUCGCGGCUUAUCAGCUUGUUGGUGGGGUAGUGGCUUACCAAGGCUUUGACGGGUAGCCGGCCUGGGAGGGUGACCGGCCACAUUGGGACUGAGAUACGGCCCAGACUCCUACGGGAGGCAGCAGUGGGGAAUAUUGCACAAUGGGCGGAAGCCUGAUGCAGCAACGCCGCGUGCGGAAUGACGGCCUUCGGGUUAUAAACCGCUUUCGCCUGUGACGAAGCGUGAGUGACGGUAAUGGGUAAAGAAGCACCGGCUAACUACGUG